rnacentral:lncRNA from 1 species
CGUCUUCUCCCUCCACAAGGAAUGUCUCUUCUGUCCUAGGUUGCAGCUCCAGAUGUGGUACACAGUGAACAUCUACCAAGGCAUUUCAAGGUUCCAGGACCUAGAACAAAGACAUUGUCCAUAGAGAUCAAGCAAACAUGGAAUUUUCCCGUGGAUUCUAACAGACGACGAUGUUUCUGUCUUCUUGAGUGAGCAUCAAAGAACAGAAACUUCCCUUACUUGCUAAUAGAUAGACCCUCC